AUUGAACGCUGGCGGCAGGCCUAACACAUGCAAGUCGAGCGGAGCGGCGGACGGGUGAGUAAUGCCUAGGAAUCUGCCUGGUAGUGGGGGAUAACGUCGGGAAACUGGAGCUAAUACCGCGUACUAUAGGAUGAGCCUAAGUGGGAUUAGCUAGGUGGUGAGGUAAAGGCUUACCAAGCCGACGAUCCCUAGCUGGUCUGAGAGGAUGACCAGCCACACUGGAACUGAGACACGGCCCAGACUCCUACGGGAGGCAGCAGUGGGGAAUAUUGGACAAGGGUCGCAAGCCUGACCCAGCCAUGCCGCGUGAGUGAAGAAGGCCUUCGGAUUGUAAAGUUCUUUCAGUUGGGAGGCGUUAACAACAGAAGAAGCACCGGCUAACUCCGUGCCAGCAGCCGCGGUAAUUC
rnacentral:rRNA from 1 species